CCCAGACUCCUACGGGAGGCAGCAGUCGGGAAUAUUGCGCAAUGGAGGAAACUCUGACGCAGUGACGCCGCGUGCAGGAAGAAGGUUUUCGGAUUGUAAACUGCUUUAGACAGGGAAGAUAAUGACAGUACCUGUAGAAUAAGCUCCGGCUAACUACGUGCCAGCAGCCGCGGUAAUACGUAGGGAGCAAGCGUUAUCCGGAUUUACUGGGUGUAAAGGGCGUGUAGGCGGGACUGCAAGUCAGAUGUGAAAACCACGGGCUCAACCUGUGGCCUGCAUUUGAAACUGUAGUUCUUGAGUACUGGAGAGGCAGACGGAAUUCCUAGUGUAGCGGUGAAAUGCGUAGAUAUUAGGAGGAACACCAGUGGCGAAGGCGGCUUACUGGACUGUAACUGACGUUGAGGCUCGAAAGCGUGGGGAGCAAACAGGAUUAGAUACCCGUGUA
rnacentral:rRNA from 1 species